rnacentral:rRNA from 1 species
UGCGCCGCUAUCAUGCAAGUCGAGCGAGAAGACGUAGCAAUACGUUUGUAAAGCGGCGAACGGGUGAGGAAUACAUGGGUAACCUACCCUCGAGUGGGGAAUAACUAACCGAAAGGUUAGCUAAUACCGCAUACGGCUCCUGGUCUGCGGAUCGGGAGAGAAAGCGAUACCGUGGGUAUCGCGCUCUUGGAUGGGCUCAUGUCCUAUCAGCUUGUUGGUGAGGUAACGGCUCACCAAGGCGACGAUCUGUAGCGGGUCUGAGAGGAUGAUCCGCCACACUGGAACUGAGACACGGUCCAGACUCCUACGGGAGGCAGCAGUGGGGAAUUUUGGACAAUGGGGGCAACCCUGAUCCAGCCAUGCCGCGUGAGUGAAGAAGGCCUUCGGGUUGUAAACUCUUUCGGCCGGGAAGAAAUCGUAUGGGUUAAUACCCUGUGCGGAUGACGGUACCGGCAUAAGAAGCACCGGCUAACUACGUGCCAGCAGCCGCGGUAAUACGUAGGGUGCGAGCGUUAAUCGGAAUUACUGGGCGUAAAGCGUGCGCAGGCGGUCUUGUAAGACAGAGGUGAAAUCCCCGGGCUCAACCUGGGAACUGCCUUUGUGACUGCAAGGCUUGAGUGCGGCAGAGGGGGAUGGAAUUCCGCGUGUAGCAGUGAAAUGCGUAGAUAUGCGGAGGAACACCGAUGGCGAAGGCAAUCCCCUGGGCCUGCACUGACGCUCAUGCACGAAAGCGUGGGGAGCAAACAGGAUUAGAUACCCUGGUAGUCCACGCCCUAAACGAUGUCAACUGGUUGUUGGGAGGGUUUCUUCUCAGUAACGUAGCUAACGCGUGAAGUUGACCGCCUGGGGAGUACGGCCGCAAGGUUAAAACUCAAAGGAAUUGACGGGGCCCGCACAAGCG